AAAUUUUUUUUUCUUCUAGGCUUCUCUAGCUGAAACAGAUAAAAUCACUCUGGAGGUAGCAAAACUUAUCAAAGAUGAUUUCUUACAACAAAAUGGAUAUACUCCUUAUGACAGGUUCUGCCCAUUCUACAAGACAGUCGGGAUGCUGUCCAACAUGAUUGCAUUUUAUGAUAUGGCCCGGAGAGCUGUCGAAACCACUGCACAGAGUGACAAUAAAAUCACAUGGUCCAUUAUCCGUGAGCACAUGGGGGAGAUUCUCUAUAAGCUUUCCUCUAUGAAAUUCAAGGAUCCAGUGAAAGAUGGUGAGGCAAAGAUCAAGGCCGACUAUGCACAACUUCUUGAAGAUAUGCAGAACGCAUUUCGUAGCCUUGAAGAUUAGAACUGUGAUUUCUUUCCUUCCUUUCCUCAGCAACCUCCUCUCAUGUGUAUAUUUUCCUAAAUUUCUCAUCUCCAAACCCUUUGCUUCUUUAUUGUGCAGCUUUGAGACUAGUGCCUACGUGUGUUAUCAUUUGUUUCCCUGUUUAUCUGGUAGGUCUUAUAUAAAACAAACAUUCCUUUGUUCCAGUGUUUGAAGGGCCUCCAUGAUCCUUUCUCCGAAGUGGUGAAUGUAGUAAAUAUGAUAUAUAAUGGCUACACUACUGUAAACUUGUCUGUAGGGUGACAUCCCUACUUGUCCUCGGUUUGCCCUUUCCUCCUCGCCUUUAAAUUGUAAACAGGACUACUGCAUGUACUCUCUUUGCAAUAGAUUUGGAAUGGAAGGCCAGAUUUCUAUACAUUUUGACAGGUACUUUGUGAAAUGACUCUAUCUCUGUGGUAAGGUUAUUUGCAGCUUAGCAUUUUGCUGAGUAACUGCUUUGCAGGAUAUAAUUGCCUUUUUCUAAAAACAUGAAUGAUUAAUGUUCCAAUUAUGCAUUGCUUUCCCCAGUAUAAAUCAGGAAUGUUUGUAGGAAACUGUUGGGAACUCUGCUGUUUUUAAAACAGGCAUUUGUGGGACUCAGCACAGUAUAUGAAUCAGUACCCUCUAAAAAGGUGGAAAAGGGGCCAGGUGGUCAAACUUAAAACAUCACCUUGUUAAAGCAUAUUUAUUUCACUAUGAAAAAUUCAGUAUCAAGGACUAUACUACUACAUUACUAAGAAAUUCUUUUUAAAAUCACAUUUAAAACAAUCACCGGAACUUGAUCCACAUCACACCCUUUCCUUUUUCUCAAACGUCUUAGAAGCCUGAGCUUCUAAGAAUCAUGUGGCAGUGGGAUGGGCAGUAAAAUGCCACAGAGAAGGUAUUCAGUAUGGUUAAAGGCUGUUUGCACCAUUAAGGACCAGCUGGACCGUAGUGAAAAUUGGGGCCAGAGUGGCAUUAUGUUUUUACAAGAUAGAUAUGUGUCACGUGUUUGCAUGUUUGUUUGCUUAGUGAACUUUUGAACAACCAGUUUACCAGUUUACUGGUUCAAAAGAUUUCUCAGAAUAUCUGUAGCAAUAGCAGCAUAACAGUUUCCAUGCUGCUUCAUAGGGAGGAAAUUAAUUCUCCUAUGUGCUGAUGACAGAAUCUGGGUCAUGUGAGAAGAAAGAUAAUUUCAUCCUGUCUUUUCAGUAUAUGUUUUAAAAUAAUAAUUUCUGUGUCUGUGUAAGGCACGCUACAGAACAGCUCUGAGAGCAACAGUUUCUCUAUUAACUCUUUCUGACCAACAGUGCUGGCACCAUUGCUUCCUCUUUGGGAAGAGGAAAGGGUAUGUGAAUAUGUCUAACAAUCGCAAAUACCCAAACGUAAUAGCAUAAGUAAAGUAUUUAUUUUAUGCCUCAGUAUAUUAUUAUUUAAUUUUUAGUAACGUAUUUCUUUUGGUCCGUUAAGGAAAGAUGCCGUGAGUAGAGAAUUUAGCUAUAGUUUGUUGAAAUCCUUGCAGAGUGCAUGUUUUUACAGUGGCUUGCUACUCAGGAUAGAUAUUCUUCCACGCAGCUUUUUUUUUUUAACCUUUCCGAAUAUUGGAAGAUAAAAAUUAUGCAGUGAUUUGUUGAGAUGCGGACUUAAUGGUGCUGCUUUAUCAGUUUGCUUCCAAUGUGGCCUCCUACCCAGAGGCCCUGAGACCAGUGGAAAUGAAAAGGAUUUCAAAAAUGUUCUAUUCCUACCUUAAACUGACCAGCAAACUAGGACUGUGAUAGUAGUGAAUGAUAUGAUGAAGAAAGUUUUACCAAGUUUGUUUUUUGUUGUUCUGAAUUUACAAUGUAAUUCCUACUCCCUUUUAAGAAUGUUGAUGUAUGGGUGUGAAGAGGCUAGAGAUAGAAGAUGCUCUGCUAUUCAUUGUAAGUGUCCUUCAACCUAUAUGUUGUAGAAUUUCAGAUUGGUCACUGAUCAUAUUUCUUUGGUAAGAAUGUGUUAAAAUUACAACAAUCUUUUAAAAAGAUGAUGCAGUUCUAUAUUGUGCUAUGCCUGGUCCUAAGUGGAGCCAGUUAAACAAGUUUCAUAUGUAUUUUUCCAGUGGUAAAUCUCACACAUUGUACCCUUUGGAAAUUUCCUUCCAUCCUGAAGAACGAAUAGAAGAGGCCAUAUAUAUUGCCUCCUUAUCCUUGAGAUUUCACUAUCUUUAUGUUAAAAGCUGUGUAUAAUUGUUAAAAUCUAUGAAAGAAUAAAAAGUGGAUUUAAAUUAA